UAUCACCUCUGUGUUCUGAGCCAUGCUGAUCACGUUCUGCCAUGAUGUGCUGAACAUUUUUAGUGUUCUCUCCUGAGGAGGAGAUGGAGGCUGACUGAAAGCCUAACCCCAUGUAAUGAGAAAUGUGUAUAUGUAUGUAAUCUGAUGCAAGUCUCACCACCAACAGAUUAAAAAAAUCAUGUUUGAAAGAGAAAGAAAUAACACAUAUUUUGGUCACGACCUGGACUAUGGGCACUUCAACUAUUGCUACUGACUGCAUCGUUUCAACUCUCUGCACGAAAUGUCUACCCCCAGGAAAUCCUCAAUCCCCAACAUGGAGGAAAUUGUAAUGGAAAAUCCCAUUACACUGACCUCUGUCAAGGGGGUUUGACUCUAGUAGCAAAAUAACCAUGUACUCAUAUAGUCUUUGCCUCCUAUUAGGUAACAGACAAGACAUAUUUCUGGAUAUAUCUAUGAAGUUCUAGAGGGCUGUUGAGGAUAGAUGCAAGGUCAAAGGCAAACACAGGGUUUGUAAUAAGGAGAAUGGAAAAAUAAAAAUGAAAUGAAUGAAUGAA